rnacentral:lncRNA from 1 species
UAUUUUUGAGGUUAUUCUAUGAAUAUUUGAAAAGAGCACUGAAUGAACCUCAUUUGUGGAAGGAGGGAAAUUUAUACUUGAAUGUUGAAAAUAAAGUAGGGACAAUAUUCCCCAAACCAGUGUUGAAUUUUGAUGUAUAUUGGUUCGGUUCUGUGUGGGAAAAUGCACAUGCGUCCGUACUUUCUGUCAAGUGACAGCAAUGUCUUUGAAAAAUCAAAGGAGCUUUCCUUAAACAAAACAUUUAUUUUUCAUUUACAAAGAGAAUUCAGUAUGAAGCUCGUGCUAGGUUUACUGAAUGCUCAAUUUUCGAGGGAUUGUUUGGCU